ACGAUACGUAGCUCGAAAACGUGUGAAACAUUAAACGUAUUGUAAACAGUUACGUAAAGCUUAACGAUUUAAUGCAAAAUGUAGCAUAUUCAAAUAUAGAAAUUUAUCCCAUACUACAUUCGAUUUAUAAUAAAUUUAAAAAUCAGUACGUUUCAAAGAGAGAAUGUGAAAUAAUUGGCAAACACAGCGAAAUGAGCGCGUGCGCAACCUUGCAAAGAAGUUGAAAAUCACGUUCUAAUAUACAUAUCCUUUCUUCGAGGAAUUCUUUGUGAUGCCACUCGAUUAACAAACGUAAACAAUGCUUUUCUAUAAGAUUAGACGUGGAUGGUCGAUUCGUAUCGAAAAAAUAUCGCUUAAGAUGGCUUAAGAACGUAUUUGGCUUACCGCUAAUGCGCCUCAUGGCGGCUCACGACACGGCUCGUAUCCAAAAACCGACGAGGUGGUCAAUCCAGCGAGGUAUGUAAAUCUUCCUGUUCGCUAUAAACACCAUGCCACAUGUACAAACACCGAUCAUCACCUACGCCAUGCACACACCGAUUCUGGAACGUAAGGUUCCCGCGCCAUUGCCCACUGAUGAGGCUUUUCUCGAACAAAGAAGAUAACCUGCCUCCUCCGACACCGUACUUUUCCCUGUUACGUUAACACGAAUAAGUAACCAGUCGCCUCGAGAAUGACUGACAUACUGUUAACCGCGAUCAGAGUGAUUCUCUCUACGCGGCGACCGACGGAUGCACUGACCGAAUGUGUGGUAAUUUUAAACGUACUUGAACGCGGGUGAGAAACGGCGACCAAACAGGGUAUAAACUACUCCAUCACGAUUUCUCACGUAGCACUGUCGUCCUCUAGUAUCCAAUGCCACCGCCAGAGCGCUCGACCAACCGGUAAUGAUAAAUCUCCUCCUUGUAUGGAUUUAGGUCCCCGAGCCGCACUGUUGGCUUUUUAAAUCCAUUCAUUCUAUCGCGUAUUCUGUACAUUGUUUUCCUGUAUUUCUGGUUGAUAUAAUAUCGUUACAUUAAACUAUAAAUGUAAAGCGUUAUAUAAAAAGAUUUACAGUGUGACAUAUAAGAUAGUAUAUUCGCUUUGUAUGUAAGCCAUACAAAAG
rnacentral:misc_RNA from 1 species